rnacentral:lncRNA from 1 species
UCAAUGACCACCUUCCUGAUUUGAGGUCUCGUGAAUGUGGAAGUUGUGUUGUUGUUCCCACACUUCCUGCUACUGUUCCACCAUCAGCAGCAGGGACAUACUACUGUCGUCCGAUCUCAUUCGCUCAGUGUUGUUACUGGAUCAGAAGUAGGACAGUCCUCCUCCGCUUUCUGAUUGGUUAACCACCACUUAGUUUGGUUUGGUUAAUGGAAAAUACAAAGUAUCGGUUAUUGUUCAAAUAACCACUAUAACUAUAAAUAUGAAUUCGGAGCCCCUUAAGUCAUAUAUGGUGGUAUUUAAGUAUAAUUAAUGAAGUUAAUGAAGUUAUGGACAGAGGACCAGAGGGAAUUGAGUCAGAGCCAGAAUUCUAGGAGAAAGUCACUAAAUUCACAAAUAAAAUCAAUUAGAUCAGACAACUUUUCACUCCGUUGUUCAGUAGAAAAGACCAUUCGCGAUCUGUUUUUGCCAGCACCAUGCGUGGUUAUGCUAUAUAUAUUGCUAUUAACAAAAGACUUAACAAGGACCGAAAGAACAGAUGAUAGGACAGAAUCCAUAUGGCAUUUAGACAGUUCUGCACGAUUUGCAAUGGCAGCAGUGCGCACAAGAAGGACUAGAACAUACAACGAGAGACACUGGACAAAGACCUGCAAAUGCCCCAGCUGUGACAGCUGUUUGUCACCGCACUUAAAGUAGUCUUUACUUUACUUUAGUCUUUACCGCACUUUAAAGUAGUCUUUAUGUGGUUGACCAGAUAAUGGAAACGGGGCCCGUAACUGUCCCACCCCGAAUCCAGUAGGAUGGAUUGUACCACCUGAUCAUUCUAGACUGACGGUACUAUAUGUUAAGAGACGCUGGCCAAUGGCAAUAGAGCAGUAGCCGGGGCGAAACGGGGAGGUCGGAUCCAACAACACUAUAUGAAUUCAGGCAGUUAGGUUUGGAAGGUGGUAAUUUCAACCUGGCUAAAAAGUUGGCAUAAUGGGAAAUAUUGAAGAUUUUCAACGUCAGUUCACAUCUGUUAUGGAGAACCUUUUGCAUUUAGCUGUUACUGAAACGACGAAACUCUUCGAAAGUGCAGUGCAGGAAUUGAAAGCAGAGCACGCAUGGAUACAAAAACAGAACGAUAAAGAUACUCUUUGUUCAUACCAAAGAAGUAUACCGGAAUGGAGUGGAAAUCCAUGCACACGAGAUAUCGGCGUACAAGUUCGCGUAACGCCUAUGGUGGUGGAGCGGUCCUGCAGCCCUGGUUCACAACAUGAAGACACAGACAAAACCAGAUUUUCGGGUUCGUUUCCAGGUCUUUUACAGGACGAAAACCAACAGUUUACGUUGCUCUUUAUCAAGCCAGAGGUCAGUGGUUCUGCUUAAACACACAUAACCUUUCCCUGUUUGCACAGUAUAUAAGAAUUAAUGUCAUCCAG